GUCUGUGGCCAAACCACCCUGAAAGCGCCCGAUAUUGUCUGAUCUUGGAAGGUAAGCAGGGUUGGGCCUUGUUGGUACUUAGAUGGGAGAAAUCAGGCUGAUACACUCU
rnacentral:rRNA from 1 species